rnacentral:rRNA from 1 species
UACAGAGGAGCCAAGCGUUGUCCGGAUUGACUGGGCGUAAAGCGCACGCAGGCGGUUGCGCGCGGGGGGGGUGAAAUCUGGCCGCUUAACGGCCAGGCGCCAUCCCAUACGGCGCGACUGGAGUGAUGCAGAGGUCGAUGGAAUUGCCGGUGUAGUGGUGAAAUGCGUAGAGAUCGGCAGGAACACCCAGGGGGAAACCAGUCGACUGGGCAUCUACUAACGCUGAGGUGCGAGAGCGUGGGGAGCGAACCGG